rnacentral:lncRNA from 1 species
UGAACAAAAAUGCAUUUACAUUGUUUUCUAAGCCAGCUGUGUGGUCUGGCCUAUUUUCCUUCACUGCUUUGAUGAAUAAAUUGUGUAAAAUCUACUUGCUUUCGUAACAGGAGUUCCUGCUAAGAAAACGUGCAGUUAGACUCACACAAUAAAGCACACCAGUCUGACGUCUGGGUCAGAUUUAAGAAAUCAAUUCUCCCCUGCUUCCACAGAAGUCAUUUUAUUGUGGAAGACAAACUAUCGUGAUGCAGCUUGGAAAAUGAAAAUCUAUUUAGAACUACCCUGGGUUUUCUGAUGGGUCGGUAGUUGUUUUAAUAUAUGUAAAGAUAGGUUAAAGGCAUUUUCAAAUAAUGAUGACAUUUUCUUGGUCUAGGCAUAUAUUACUCAGAAAAGAAAUUAAUGGUUCAAGAACAUCAAAUCCAUUAGCCACUCUCACCAGACUGCUUCAAAUAAGGUGGACUGGGAAGGGUCAUGGCUGAACAGGAAACCAGCAGACAUCAGUUCUAUUCUGGGCUUGACUUCUGAGUGACUUUGAGGAUUUCACUCAAUUUUUCUGCUAUUCGGUGUGUUCAGGUUUCAAAAAAUUGAAAUGAUAUUACCAGGAUGUUGUGGAGAGUUAUCAGAUUAACAAGAUGCUUUGGACUCCUGAGAUACAAGCUAAUGUAGAAACAGGAGAUAUCCAAGACACAGCUCAUGGCCAUACAUCUCAAAUUGUAUGUACCGCACACUCCUCACUGCUUUAAAGCCCUGCGAAUGAUUCCUUUCAAAUAGUGUAUUGUUCUAUUUGAAUUGGUGCUCAGUUACAAAUGCUGGGAUAAAGGUAUACUCUGCUGAAAUCCGUUCAUUUCAAUUCAAGAAAAAGAAGAUUGAUGGAGUACUUAGAGUAGGUUAUUUAGUUUGAUGACAAUCUAUAAUCACCUAAUAUUAAAAGAGCCUCCUGGUUGAUGUCUCUUUUUCUGAACCAUGCAAAAUCUAAAGUUGUUUUACUAACACCACCUCAAAUUUGCCAAGUGACUACUAACUGCUAAACACUUUUCUCAAAUUAUUUCAUUUAGCUUUCACAACUCCACGAGGUGUAUUUUAUUAAUAUCCUCAUUUUACAGACCAGAACAUUGAGAAUUAGCAAAGACACAGAAUCACUCAAGUUGUCAGGAGCACAACUGUCAUUUAGCCUAGGGUCUCUUAGCUUCUAGUCCCUAACUUAUACUUUCCCCAAACUUGUGAUUGUCAUGCUUUUGAAUAUUCGAUACGCUUUUUAAGAUGCACAUUCCUGAGAUCCACACACAGAGUUCCUUGAUGCUACAACUUGUUUAUUGUAAAUUAGAGACAUCCAAGGAUUGAAAGUAAGGGAACUGAGAUUCAGAACAAAGACUUUAUAGGAUGGCAAUAGAGGACCCUCCUACUGCUAGUACGAGAUGAGCAGAUGGGUACAGCAAACCUUAUGACCCUCAGUCAUCGGAUGGUUAAGCAAGUGUGACU